rnacentral:rRNA from 1 species
UGGAGGGGCAAGUCUGGUGCCAGCAGCCGCGGUAAUUCCAGCUCCAAUAGCGUAUAUUAAAGUUGUUGCAGUUAAAAAGCUCGUAGUUGAAUUUCGGGAUCAAUAUUUCGGUCAUGCCGUUGGUAUGCACUGUUAUCAUUGAUUUCUCACCUUCUAAAGAACCGUAAUGCCAUUAAUUUGGUGUUACGGGGAAUUAGGACUGUUACCUUGAAAAAAUUAGAGUGUUUAAAGCAGGCUCACGCUUGAAUACAUUAGCAUGGAAUAAUGAAAUAGGACAUCCGAUUCUAUUUUGUUGGUUUCUAGGAUCGAUGUAAUGAUUAAUAGGGAUAGUUGGGGGCAUUAGUAUUCAAUUGUCAGAGGUGAAAUUCUUGGAUUUAUUGAAGACUAACUACUGCGAAAGCAUUUGCCAAGGAUGUUUUCAUUAAUCAAGAACGAAAGUUAGGGGAUCGAAGACGAUCAGAUACCGUCGUAGUCUAACCAUAAA